UACAGAGGUCCCGAGCGUUGUUCGGAUUCAUUGGGCGUAAAGGGCGCGUAGGCGGGGAGGUAAGUCGGGUGUGAAAUCCCUCGGCCCAACUGAGGAACUGCGCUCGAGACUGCUUCUCUUGAGUCCCGGAGAGGAAGAUGGAAUUCCCGGUGUAGCGGUGAAAUGUGUAGAGAUCGGGAGGAACACCGGUGGCGAAGGCGGUCUUCUGGACGGUGACUGACGCUGAGGCGCGAAAGCGUGGGGAGCAAACGGG
rnacentral:rRNA from 1 species